AGGCCUAUUGGAUGUGUGUACGUGAACUGACUGUGGCUCUCAUUUGCCCCUUUGGACGUUCAUUAGAGGUUCGUUGAAACCUGUUUUACUUCCUGAAGUGCACAAACUUGGUAAACAACCGAUAGAUACAGGCAAAGAGGUUGAACCGACUGAUAUGAAAAUCCGCUGUGUCUGUCAACAGAGUGUACAGCAAAAACUGAACUGACAAUGUGGGAGUGUACCAUCAUCAUCUUAAUCAUCGGUGCAGUGGUACCUAUGUUUGUUGCACCACAUGAGGCGCUGACAGUAGGGUGCGGCGGUGGUGCAAGCAAAGACGGAAAAAAAAUAGAGACGAUAGGACUAAUCAUUUUGUUCGUGUCUUUUCUUGUUAACUUCAAUCAUGACCGUAGGUCAAUAAUCUUUGGUUUACCGAGUUUAUUGUUAUCAUUCUUUGUGACUUAUCAUUCCUCCCCUGCAUUAUGCCACACCAUUUCAUGGACUUGUCGUGGUACCUGCCAAAUUAUGUGCACUGGUGCUUCGUUUGCACAUGCCAUUUGCGAGCAUUUGGCAAGUAGGCCUAGACGUGCUUAGGUAUGUCAAUAUAAACCCACUUUAGAUCUGUAUUGUUUUGUUGCAAAAAAACAUUCUACCUUUAAGGCUUCCUAAAGUCACGACGUCACUUAUGUCCUGAUUACGAAUACAGCAUAGUUGAAAUGUGAGACCAAAUUUACAUCAGAGCCAUAACAGAAAUUCUUCGAAAAUACAACCACAUGGUUUUACUAAAAUGAUAUUGCUAUACAUAAUGCAAAAUUAAAGGCAGUGGACACUAUUGGUAAUUACUCAAAAUAUUUGUUAGCAUAAAACCUUACUUGGUGAUGAGUA